ACGCCCACAGUUGCCAGCGUACUCUCUGGAGUGACGGGUACACUGUGGGGACCGCGCUGCUAAAGCGGAGGAAGGAAUGGGCAACGGUAGGUCAGUAUGCCCCGAAUAUCCCGGGCUACACGCGAGCUACAAUGGUUGGUACAAUGGGUAUCUACCCCGAAAGGGGACGGGAAUCUCCUAAAACCAAUCUUAGUUCGGAUUGAGGGCUGCAACUCGCCCUCAUGAAGCUGGAAUCCGUAGUAAUCGCGUUUCAACAGAACGCGGUGAAUACGUCCCUGCUCCUU
rnacentral:rRNA from 1 species